rnacentral:rRNA from 1 species
ACUAUUCCCUGAGAUUGGGUUUAGGCCUUUCCUGCGCAGCUUAGGUGGAAGGCGAAGAAGGCCUCCUUCCGGGGGGGGCCCAAGCCAUCAGUGAGAUACCACUCUGGAAGAGCUAGAAUUCUAACCUUGUGUCAGGACCUACGGGCCAAGGGACAGUCUCAGGUGGACAGU